rnacentral:rRNA from 2 species
UACGUAGGGUGCGAGCGUUAAUCGGAAUUACUGGGCGUAAAGCGUGCGCAGGCGGUUCGUUAAGUUCGAUGUGAAAGCCCCGGGCUCAACCUGGGAACUGCAUUGGAAACUGGCGGGCUUGAGUGUGGCAGAGGGGGGUGGAAUUCCACGUGUAGCAGUGAAAUGCGUAGAGAUGUGGAGGAACACCGAUGGCGAAGGCAGCCCCCUGGGCUAACACUGACGCUCAGGCACGAAAGCGUGGGGAGCAAACAGG